GGUGAAGCCACCCCUAAUCACCGCUUGCCCACUCAUUGUGCACCCGUUAGACGGGACGUGAGACCCUGUUCGGGACCUUUGCCCCAGAUUAUGGCCUAUGACUGGUAGAACCCGUAGGUUCCACAAGCUUUCGAGGCCGCCACGUCCUACUCGGGCGCCGGAUAGUCGAACAACCACUCCAUUACCGAGUGGUUCCGCUGCUGCCCAUCGGCCGGACUCUCCCGCUGGCCGGUGUGACCCUGACUGUGUGCCGGGUCUGAGGAUGCCCUCCGUCGUCACCCCUUAUAACGUGUUACCCGCUUUCGGACUACGUCGCUGCGGCGCACUCCCUACUGCCGGAAGCCCAACAUUUGGAGAAAGUCGUCCCUUCUUCGCUUUCACUGCCAUGGACGUCUUCUUCGCGGCCGAUUGAUGCACGGUCGUCGGCGCCAUUAUGCAUCCCGCGCUCGCAACAGGCCUUAAUAACCCGCAUUUCUCGAGCAUCCGCCGAACAGUGCAGCCAACACUUUCGGGCCCCGAAUUGGGGCCCAGACGUCAGCUAUGCCCGUCCGAUCUCAAGCCAUCCCCUCUAGCCUUAAGGACCACAUCGCCACUUUACGCGUCUAUAGUCCUCCUUGUGGCCACCGCUUCCGCCUAGAGACCCGGCUAUGACUGCGACUCCUCGCUUUCGCACCCCUCGCUUGUCCUAAUCUAUGGGACCAUCA
rnacentral:rRNA from 1 species